GGACGGGAACCCUCCCCUUGUUGUUGACCUUUACCAAGGAUUAUGGGGCAUCCGACUCCUCGUUUUCCUCUUUAGGCGGGUUCCUCCCCGAGCGCAGACUAAUCGAUCAACCACUCCAUUAUCGAAUGGUUCCGCUACUAGUCAUCGACCAGGCUCUCCUACUAGUCGGUGUGACCCUGACUCUGUGCCGGGUCUGAGGAUGCCCUCCGUCGUCACCCCUUAAAAGGCGUUACCCGCUUUCGGACUGCCUCGUUACGGCGCACCUCCACCUUCCGGAUGCCCAGCAGUUGAAGAAAAGAGCCUCUUCUUUGUUACUGCCAUAGACUCCUUAUUCGUAGCCGAUUGAGACACGGUCGUCGGCGCCAUUCUGUCUCCUACGUUCGCAAUAGGCCUUACUAACCCGCAUUUCGCAGACAUCCACCGAAAAGUUCAGGCGGCAGUUUAGGGUCCCGAGUUGGGACCUGUCCGCCACCUUUGAUGGUUCGACCUCAUGCCAUCCCCGUCUCCCUUAAAGGCCACCUCGCCACUUUACGCCUUAUGUGAUAACAUCAUCGACUUUACCGCCUAAGUGGACGAUGUAAUGUUAUGGAGCGAGGAAUAUGCCCUCGUCGGGACCGACUCAUAAAAUACAUGGCGCUUGCCGUAUGAAAUUAUUAAAUACUACUAGAGAGGUUUGUCCGUGUUCGAAUAGCGGUUUACAGGGAAGAUAAUUCUUCUGGAGGGCCGGCACUCCGAAUAGGUCCCCUACAAAAAAUAAACGUAAGUGCGGAAAAUCUUUCUCGGCGAUUUAAUUUAAGAGAAAAUCCGCUUCCUUCAUACUGGCGAAAUGGUUAUCAACUCUGAGUUAGACCUCUGCAAAGGCGGAUAUAAGGAUGAUUACAUUAGAGGUAU
rnacentral:rRNA from 1 species